rnacentral:sRNA from 1 species
AUAUAUGAAUUGGCUGAAAAUAUCUGAAAUUACAUAAAUUUUUCUAAAUUGAUCGGUUUAAUAUAAUCAUUCAUAUUUAAUUCUGUUAUACCCAUGUUAAGUUACGGGUUCAAUCCUACUGAUAAUUUAUAUAUGAAAUAUAUUAUAACCAUAAAUAAUUAAGUAUUUUUAUUCCAAUCAAAAGAAAUUAGGUAUUAAAAUUAAAAACGUCCAAAUAGUUUUUUUUUUGGAAAUUUUCACAUUUUUCCAACCAAUAAGUUAUUGAGUGAUUUUAUUAGUUCGGGUGACUUUUAACUUAAACGUGUAAAUUUUAGCUUAUCUGUUCUGCGCAGAUUAAAGUUCCAACUAUAUUGGGCUUGAGCCCAAUAAAAUAGUCAUGGGCUAUUUCUUCGUGCUACUGUAAGUUAUUUCUUUGUCUUCCCCGUCAGAAAUUACAAUCUCCGACAUUCAUGGCCGUCGCUGUUAAACGACGAUUUUUUCAAACGGAGAAUUUCAUGAUCAAAAUUACCCAAAGACUUCAGAAAAUGGUAAAAGCUUGCUAGUCUUAAAAGUGUUAAUCUUGAUUUCCACUCUGUUAUUCAGAGAGCAGAGUAAUUUAAACCUUGCUAGUCUUGAGAGUGUUAUUCUUUAUCACAUUCUCAAUGUUGUCAUUGUAAGACUCUUGUUCUUUUGUAACUCGUAAAUGUGAUAAGAGACGUUGAGAAGCAAGUUGAUAAAGUUAGUGGUAGAAUCAAAUACAUUAGGGAAACUUCAUAACCAUAGACAAGCGUGUUUCUAUAACUGUCAUUUGUCUUAAGUUGCAUGUUUCAUAUUGCCAAUGUCCAUAGUUCAAUAGUU